UGAUAUGUGCAGUACAUCAUCAUACGCAGUACAGUGUUCGAAGCAAGGCAUGAAUCAGACCGUUCGUCGGAACUUGGCGGCAAUUCUACGAGAUACGCCUAUUUUUAAUUUUUAGAUACGGACUGACACUGACAUGCCUGUGCAUGCAUGGGUGGAUGGUACAGUGUUUAUUACAUACAAUGUACACGUCAACAGGCUAUUUCCUUGAGGUUUGCAGGAAUGAACGGAAACGAAUGUAAGUGAGAACCUUGGAAUAUUAUUCUUAAUGACGAUAAUUCAGGAAGCAAAAAAGGUUCAAGUGAAACUCGCAGAGAAAUGAUGAAAAAAGAGCAAUCUGAUGGACAGGAGGAAUGGACCAAAAAUACCUGUCCACACCUGGCGCGCGGCGGAAGAAUAUUUUAAUGUCAUCUCCCUGGUCAAUUGCCAGCCAUAAACACAGGGGAGAUGCAAAGCUGUGAUUGGAUAUUAAUCAUAUUAUUUCUCGAAGGAGGUACUUACGCUUAUUAGAGUGGUUCUCUUGGGGAGGUUUGUGAUUUAUUACUGAGUCCAGAAGCACAGAUCGAUUGCAGA
rnacentral:sRNA from 2 species